GUCCUUGAAGCGCAAUGGAUAGCGCGUUGGGCUUUUAAUCCAAAGGUCGUAGAUUCGAAUACUACCGGGCU